GCCAGUGUGAUGUAGUGGUUUGAGUAUCAGACUUGUACUUUGGAGACCAAGGUUCACAUCCCUGUUCAGACA